rnacentral:tRNA from 1 species
GGAGAGAUGGCAGAGCGGUUGAAUGCGGCAGACUCGAAAUCUGUUUUCCGGCUUGCCGGAACGGGGGUUCGAAUCCCUCUCUCUCCG